UGGGGAAUAUUGGACAAUGGGGGCAACCCUGAUCCAGCCAUGCCGCGUGAGUGAAGAAGGCCCUCGGGUUGUAAAGCUCUUUUGUCCGGAAAGAAAAGCAUUCGGUGAAUACCCGGAUGUUCUGACGGUACCGGAAGAAUAAGCACCGGCUAACUUCGUGCCAGCAGCCGCGGUAAUACGAAGGGUGCAAGCGUUACUCGGAAUUACUGGGCGUAAAGCGUGCGUAGGUGGUUGUUUAAGUCUGAUGUGAAAGCCCUGGGCUCAACCUGGGAAUGGCAUUGGAAACUGGGCAGCUAGAGUGCGGUAGAGGGUAGUGGAAUUCCCGGUGUAGCAGUGAAAUGCGUAGAGAUCGGGAGGAACAUCUGUGGCGAAGGCGACUGCCUGGACCAGCACUGACACUGAGGCACGAAAGCGUGGGGAGCAAACA
rnacentral:rRNA from 1 species